AAUCCAUGCAUAAGACAUUUUCGUAGCAAAUCUUUAAAUCUUUCCCAUGCUCCAUACAAGCUUUCAUCAUCCAUCUGCUUAAAUGAAGACAAAUGAUUUUAAGCUU